UAACACGUGAGCAACCUGCCUUUCAGUGGGGGACGAACAUUUGGAAACGAAUGCUAAUACCGCAUAAGACCACAGUGUCGCAUGGCACAGGGGUCAAAGGAUUUAUCCGCUGAAAGAUGGGCUCGCGUCCGAUUAGCUAGAUGGUGAGGUAACGGCCCACCAUGGCGACGAUCGGUAGCCGGACUGAGAGGUUGAUCGGCCACAUUGGGACUGAGACACGGCCCAGACUCCUACGGGAGGCAGCAUG
rnacentral:rRNA from 1 species